CCUUCAGUGAGGCCACUUGGCCUGUCUUUUAAAUGUUAGCAUAAUAAAUAUAAACGGCAUCAGAAGGUGAGGGGGCAGGAGCCACGUGAUCCCUGCACGAAGGCCACUUG
rfam:Loxodonta africana clone VMRC15-75M7, complete sequence.